rnacentral:lncRNA from 1 species
GAAACAUACAAUUUUUUACAUGGAAGUACCAACUAUAGACCUAUUUCACUUCAACACCUGCUUCAGCUGGGAUAAGAAUGUUUUUUUUCAUGUGAGCCCAAUUUUCCUUUUCUGCAGAAACUCUUCCUGAGACUCAUUCUCAGUUUUCACAGCCUUGACAGAUAUAAAGAGCAAUGAUAACUCCAAGCUGUGUCUAUCUGGAAUAUUUUUUCUGAACAGACGCAGACCUUACAUUCCUGGCUGUGACACAUUGGCAUGGUGUUAUUCUCUCCUCAGUGCAGCCCACUUGGAAGAGUACAGAUCCGUCCUGCCACCACUGCUGAUCUCACUUGGAGGGAAACAUGAUUGUUUUACUUGCUAUAAUUUGCAAGAGGCAACAAAUGGUGACAUUUUUAGUGAAGAACCAGCCAAAUGUACAUGCUGUUGACAAUUUCGAGAAGAACAGCCCACAUGCUUGCCACACAUCAUAACUUGCCAAGUAUAGUCAGCCUUCUCCUUGAAGAAAAUAUUAGAGUCUUUUCUCAGGAUAUGUUUGGACAAACAGCAGACGAUUAUGCUGUUUGUUGUGAUUUGAUAAGGCAGUCUUACUGCUAUUUUGUAGAACGUGGGAUUAUGCUGGAAAUGUCUGUUUUGAGAUUCUCCACAGAAAGUGUUUGCAAACCGCUGAAUGCACACCUCCUGGAUAUUUAUGAGUUGAAUGGUCGACUCUCUCCCAGGUGUUCUGUUUGCUUGUUAAAAAAGACCAAGGAAUAA